rnacentral:rRNA from 1 species
CCUACGGGAGGCAGCAGUGAGGAAUAUUGGUCAAUGGACGAGAGUCUGAACCAGCCAAGUAGCGUGAAGGAUGACUGCCCUAUGGGUUGUAAACUUCUUUUAUAAAGGAAUAAAACGAGGCACGUGUGCCUUUUUGCAUGUACUUUAUGAAUAAGGAUCGGCUAACCCCGUGCCAGCAGCCGCGGGAAUACGGAGGAUCCGAGCGUUAUCCGGAUUUAUUGGGUUUAAAGGGAGCGGAGAUGGGUCGUUAAGUCCGUUGGGAAAGUUUGCGGCUCAACCGUAAAAUUGCAGUUGAUACUGGCAGUCUUGAGUGCAGAAGAGGUAGGCGGAAUGCGUGGUGUAGCGGUGAAAUGCAUAGAUAUCACGAAGAACCCCGAUUGCGAAGGCAGCUUACUAGACUGUGACUGACGCUGAUGCUCGAAAGUGUGGGUAUCAAACAGGAUUAGAUACCCCGGUAGUC